GAUGAACGCUGGCGGCGUGCCUAAUACAUGCAAGUCGAGCGAACAGACGAGGAGCUUGCUCCUUCGACGUUAGCGGCGGACGGGUGAGUAACACGUAGGUAACCUACCUAUAAGACUGGGAUAACUUCGGGAAACCGGAGCUAAUACCGGAUAAUAUUUCGAACCGCAUGGUUCGAUAGUGAAAGAUGGCUUUGCUAUCACUUAUAGAUGGACCUGCGCCGUAUUAGCUAGUUGGUAAGGUAACGGCUUACCAAGGCAACGAUACGUAGCCGUCCUGAGAGGGUGAUCGGCCACACUGGAACUGAGACACGGUCCAGACUCCUACGGGAGGCAGCAGUAGGGAAUCUUCCGCAAUGGGCGAAAGCCUGACGGAGCAACGCCGCGUGAGUGAUGAAGGUCUUCGGAUCGUAAAACUCUGUUAUUAGGGAAGAACAAACGUGUAAGUAACUGUGCACGUCUUGACGGUACCUAAUCAGAAAGCCACGGCUAACUACGUG
rnacentral:rRNA from 1 species